rnacentral:rRNA from 1 species
GUGAGGAAUAUUGGUCAAUGGGCGAAAGCCUGAACCAGCAACGCCGCGUGGAGGAUGACGGCCUUCGGGUUGUAAACUCCUUUUAGGGGGGACAAGUAAGGAUGGUACCCUCAGAAUAAGUCACGGCUAACUACGUGCCAGCAGCCGCGGUAAUACGUAGGUGACGAGCGUUAUCCGGAAUUAUUGGGCGUAAAGCGUACGCAAGCGGUUAAAUAAGUCUGACGUGAAAUCUCUUGGCUUAACUGAGAGCGGUCGUUGGAAACUGUUUGGCUUGAGGCGAUGAGAGGAGUGCGGAAUCCCGGGUGUAGUGGUGGAAUGCGUAGAUAUCCGGGGGAACAUCAGUGGCGAAAGCGGCACUCUGGCAUUUGCCUGACGCUCAUGUACGAAAGCGUGGGGAGCGAACGGGAUUAGAUACCCCAGUAGUCC